UACGGAGGGGGCCAGCGUUGUUCGGAAUCAUUGGGCGUAAAGGGCGCGUAGGCGGCUUGGUAAGUCCGUUGUGAAAUCCCUCGGCUCAACCGAGGAACUGCGACGGAUACUGCUUGGCUUGAGUACCGGAGAGGGUAGCGGAAUUCCCAGUGUAGCGGUGAAAUGCGUAGAUAUUGGGAGGAACAUCGGUGGCGAAGGCGGCUACCUGGACGGGUACUGACGCUGAUGCGCGAAAGCUAGGGGAGCAAACAGG
rnacentral:rRNA from 1 species